AGGGGGCGGGCACUCAGUCCACAUGGAGGGGGCCGGCACUCCGCCCACAUGGAGGGGGCGGAUACUCAUGCUGCGUUCGAGUAUUCUCUGCGAACCGACUCGGAUCUCGGAUCUGACGCCACGCCCGUCCACAUCGAGGGGGCGGCCACUCAGUUCACAUUGAGGACUGGUCAAACAGCAUGUGCAGCAUCUGAUCCCGUUUCUGACCUGAAAUUACCUGAAAUUAGAGUGUGCCCGCCCGAGCUAGUGAUGCCUAAAACAUGCAAAGACACGUCAGUGUAAUUGUGAAUGGCGAGAGCCCUGAAAUACAGCUGGACAGCAGCGGUCUACAUCACUGCCCCUUCUUCAGAUACAAAGGGUCAAAAUGUGAUAUCGACCAUCACAUUAAAUGCCAUGCCUCGGUUAAAUACAGAGGUCUGCAGAGGAGCUUUCAGGAAGCAGGAAGAGAAGACGGGAGGAAAAAAAGCUACAGGAUAAAGAUCUCUGCACAAAAAGGGCUAGAGUUGCUCCAACAGCAUCCAGCUCUGAAGGAUCAGGUCAUGUAUAGACUGUUAAUCCUGGUGAAUCCAUGUAGGCCUACACAUAUUCAGAGUGUUUGUGAGAUAUGAUUGAUUCUAUUUGGCUUCUACUUCCAAAUUAAGUUGUACACAUAUCUCCAUCAAUAUACAAGUUAUAGCCUACUCCAUGGCUGAUCUAUUGCGCAUACUAGGGCCUACUUUUAUUAUUCCAUUGUAUUGGCCUACUCAACAUUACAGACAACAAUCUGUUUUAUUUCCAGACAAAACUGAAGACCAGGAACUGGAACCUGGGAACCUAGUAUAUAAUAUGAAGAUUAUGUUGUCCUGAAGGACACAAUUCAGGCAGCAGCAUGGUGCCACUUACAGUCCUUCAAGGACAGCGUUUCUCUCCCAGAGGUCAUUGGGAUGGAAGGUUGGGAGCAGAUGGCAGCAUCAACACAGCGCAAAUCCCAUGACGGCGGGGAUGAGGAAGAAACGUGGAAACCAUUCCAAUUCUCAUUCAGAUUACAUACUGACUAUGAACUGUUCUGUGUGGAGAUGAUGGACAGGAGAAACCUGAAGGUGUUUGCCUCUUUUGAGUCAAACACCUCUCCCCCUCCCCGUCCCCCUCCCCGUGACGCCUGCGCCACACGACUCCAAUGUAGUCUGAUGAUGCAGCAUAAUGGCGGCGCUUGGCAGCUAUGGCGGCGGUGACGGCGAUGUCGGGCGACAGAGCGUGAAGCAAGAGUGGCAUCCACCUCACUGAGGAAGGCGUCAGUGUGUUCCCCCUUUGUUGUUUGACUUUGUUUGUUCUACUCUUUAUUGAUUUAUCUUUUAUGUUAAUAGUUUACAAUCUAUUUUUUGUAGUUGUUAUUUUUUAAUUGUUUUGUUGAAUAAAAAGACAGUUGUUAGUG